rnacentral:rRNA from 1 species
GCGGAGGAAAAGAAACUAACAAGGAUUCCCCUAGUAACGGCGAGUGAAGCGGGAAGAGCUCAAAUUUGUAAUCUGGCACCUUCGGUGUCCGAGUUGUAAUCUCGAGAAGUGUUUUCCGCGCCGGACCGCAUAUAAGUCUGUUGGAAUACAGCGUCAUAGUGGUGAGAACCCCGUAACUGAUGCGGAUGCCCGGUGCUUUGUGAUACACUUUCGAAGAGUCGAGUUGUUUGGGAAUGCAGCUCAAAUUGGGUGGUAAAUUCCAUCUAAAGCUAAAUAUUGGCGAGAGACCGAUAGCGAACAAGUACCGUGAGGGAAAGAUGAAAAGCACUUUGGAAAGAGAGUUAACAGUACGUGAAAUUGUUGGAAGGGAAACGCUUGAAGUCAGACUUGCUAUUUGGAGUUCAGCCGCAAGGUGUAUUCUUCGAUUUGCAGGCCAGCAUCAGUUUUCUGGGGUGGAAAAGGGUAUUGAGAAGGUAGCAGUUUCGGCUGUGUUAUAGCUCUUUGCUGGAUUCAUCCUGGGGGACUGAGGAACGCAGCGCGCUUUUUGCAAGGCCUUCGGGCUUUUCGUGCUUAGGAUGCUGGUGGAAUGGCUUUAAACGACCCGUCUUG